GACCAACGUAAUGCUUUUUGGAGAGUAUUGAGCAACUACGACCUAGAGUUGGUGUUGGUCACCAACACCAACAGAGGCACCAUCAGAGGAGUGCCAAAAUGCAGUGGCAUUUGGGAAACAUGGAAAAGUGUCAGAGGGGAAGACAGUCUUGGAGAAGUCAAAAGUAAAUGGGAUUUUAACUUACGUCAUGCACUGUGGCACAUGGAAAGGGUGGACACCAGUGGAGAAAGCAAAGGCCAAGAAAGCCCUUA